rnacentral:rRNA from 1 species
CUACGUGCCAGCAGCCGCGGUAAUACGUAGGUGGCAAGCGUUGUCCGGAUUUAUUGGGCGUAAAGCGAGCGCAGGCGGUUCCUUAAGUCUGAUGUGAAAGCCCCCGGCUCAACCGGGGAGGGUCAUUGGAAACUGGGGAACUUGAGUGCAGAAGAGGAGAGUGGAAUUCCAUGUGUAGCGGUGAAAUGCGUAGAUAUAUGGAGGAACACCAGUGGCGAAGGCGACUCUCUGGUCUGUAACUGACGCUGAGAAGCGAAAGCAUGGGGAGCGAACAGGAUUAGAUACCCUGGUAGUCCAUGCCGUAAACGUUGGGCACUAGGUGUGGGGAACAUUCCACGUUUUCCGCGCCGUAGCUAACGCAUUAAGUGCCCCGCCUGGGGAGUACGGCCGCAAGGCUAAAACUCAAAGAAAUUGACGGAGGCCCGCACAAGCGGCGGAGCAUGCGGAUUAAUUCGAUGCAACGCGAAGAACCUUACCAAGGCU